GCCGAUGUAGCUCAGUUGGUAGAGCAUACGCAUGGUAAGCGUAAGGUCGGCGGUUCGAUCCCGCCCGUCGGCU
rnacentral:tRNA from 1 species